UUGAACGUUUAGCUAGAUAGUUCAGCUGUCUGAUGUAACGUUAGCUAGCUAGCUGUCAGCUGUCUGAUGUAACGUUAGCUAGCUAGCUUCCGCUGUCUGAUGAUUGUAACGUUAGUAGCUAGCUAGCUUCAGCUCUUGAUGAUGUACUUAGCUAGCUAGCAGCUUCAGCUGUCUGAUGAUGUAACGUUGCUAGCUAGCUAGCUUAGCUGUCUGAUGAUGUAACGUUUAGCUAGCUAGCUUCAGCUGUCUGAUGAUGUAACGUUAGCUAGCUAGCGUCAGCGUUGAUGAUGUGUAACGUUAGCUAGCUGCUAGCUUCAGCUGUCUGAUGAUGUUUAGCUAGUAGCUAGCUUCAGCUGUCUGAUGAUGUAACGUUAGCUAGCUAGCUUCAGCUGUCUGAUGAUGUAACGUUAGCUAGCUAGCUAGCUUCAGCUGUCUGAUGAUGUAACGUUAGCUAUCUAGCUUCAGCUGUCUUGAUGAGUAACGUUAGCUAGCUAGCUUCAGCUGUCGAUUGUAAAGUUAGCUAGCUAGCUUCAGCUGUCUGUAUGUAACGUUAGCUAGCUAGCUUCAGCUGUCUUGAUGUAACGUUUAGCUAGCUAGCAGCUUCAGCUUUCUGAUGAUGUAACGUUAGCUAGCUAGCUUCAGCUGUCUGAUGAUGUAACGUUAGCUAGCUUCGCUUCAGCUGUCUGAUGUAACGUUAGCUAGCUAGCUAGCUCAGCUGUCUGAUGAUGUAACGUUAGCUCAGUAGCGUCAGCUGUCUUCGACUUUAUAGCACGCUAAUUUUCACACCAGAACUCAAUUUUGAUCAGAUAAAUUGGCUAGCUAACGAAUAUAUGUCCCCCACACUUUCUCCCUCAACUUCAAGUAGUCCUACUCACAUCUGGGCCAGUCCAUCUACCAUAUGGGCCCAGUCCCAUCUCCCUAUGGGCAACAGUCCCAUCUACUAUGGGCCGUCCAUCUACAUACUGGGACCAAGUCCUUUCUACCAUACUGGGCCCAGUCCUAUCUACACAUCUGGGUCAGUCUAUCUACCAUACGGGUCCAGUCCUAUCUACCAUACUGGGUCCAGUCCCUUCUACCAUACUGGGUCCAGUCCCUUCUACCAUACUGGGCCCAGUCCUAUCUACUGGGUCCAGUCGAGAGUGUACCGGGUCAGUCCUAUCUACCAUCUACUGGUCCAGUCCUAUCUACCAUACUGGGUCCAGUCAUUGGUACAGUACUACCACCUACUGUACGUUCUACAUGUCUAUCGUUUCUUACCUGACCAUGUCAUGUACCUAAGCUACUGUCAGAUAAUGUUGUUGUCUACUCUGUAG
rnacentral:lncRNA from 1 species